rnacentral:rRNA from 1 species
GGGUUGUGAGGUUAAGCGACUAAGCGUACACGGUGGAUGCCUAGGCAGUCAGAGGCGAUGAAGGGCGUGCUAAUCUGCGAUAAGCGUCGGUAAGCUGAUAUGAAGCGUUAUACCCGACGAUACCCGAAUGGGGAAACCCAGUGUGUUUCGACACACUAUCAUUAUGUGAAUACAUAGCAUAAUGAGGCGAACCGGGGGAACUGAAACAUCUCAGUACCCCGAGGAAAAGAAAUCAACCGAGAUUCCCCCAGUAGCGGCGAGCGAACGGGGAGGAGCCCAGAACCUGAAUCAGUUUGUGUGUUAGUGGAAGCGUCUGGAAAGUCGCACAGUAAAGGGUGAUAGUCCCGUACACAAAAAUGCACAAGUUGUGAGUUCGAUGAGUAGGGCGGGACACGUGACAUCCUGUCUGAAUAUGGGGGGACCAUCCUCCAAGGCUAAAUACUCCUGACUGACCGAUAGUGAACCAGUACCGUGAGGGAAAGGCGAAAAGAACCCCGGCGAGGGGAGUGAAAUAGAACCUGAAACCGUGUACGUACAAGCAGUGGGAGCCUACUUGUUAGGUGACUGCGUACCUUUUGUAUAAUGGGUCAGCGACUUAUAUUCUGUAGCAAGGUUAACCGUAUAGGGGAGCCGCAGGGAAACCGAGUCUUAACUGGGCGUUAAGUUGCAGGGUAUAGACCCGAAACCCGGUGAUCUAGCCAUGGGCAGGUUGAAGGUUGGGUAACACUAACUGGAGGACCGAACCGACUAAUGUUGAAAAAUUAGCGGAUGACUUGUGGCUGGGGGUGAAAGGCCAAUCAAACCGGGAGAUAGCUGGUUCUCCCCGAAAGCUAUUUAGGUAGCGCCUCGUGAAUUCAUCUUCGGGGGUAGAGCACUGUUUCGGCUAGGGGGUCAUCCCGACUUACCAACCCGAUGCAAACUACGAAUACCGAAGAAUGUUAUCACGGGAGACACACGGCGGGUGCUAACGUUCGUCGUGAAGAGGGAAACAACCCAGACCGCCAGCUAAGGUCCCAAAGUCAUGGUUAAGUGGGAAACGAUGUGGGAAGGCAUAGACAGCCAGGAUGUUGGCUUAGAAGCAGCCAUCAUUUAAAGAAAGCGUAAUAGCUCACUGGUCGAGUCGGCCUGCGCGGAAGAUGUAACGGGGCUAAACCAUGCACCGAAGCUGCGGCAGCGACACUUAGGUGUUGUUGGGUAGGGGAGCGUUCUGUAAGCCUGCGAAGGUGGCCUGUGAGGGCUGCUGGAGGUAUCAGAAGUGCGAAUGCUGACAUAAGUAACGAUAAUGCGGGUGAAAAACCCGCACGCCGGAAGACCAAGGGUUCCUGUCCAACGUUAAUCGGGGCAGGGUGAGUCGACCCCUAAGGCGAGGCUGAAAAGCGUAGUCGAUGGGAAACAGGUUAAUAUUCCUGUACUCGGUGUUACUGCGAAGGGGGGACGGAGAAAGCUAGGUUAUCCGGGCGACGGUUGUCCCGGUUUAAGCGUGAAGGUGGAUGACUUUGGUAAAUCCGGGUCAUUAUUAACACUGAGGCGUGAUGACGAGUCACUACGGUGAUGAAGUAACCGAUGCUACGCUUCCAGGAAAAGCCUCUAAGCUCCAGGUAACAUCAAAUCGUACCCCAAACCGACACAGGUGGUCAGGUAGAGAAUACUCAGGCGCUUGAGAGAACUCGGGUGAAGGAACUAGGCAAAAUGGUGCCGUAACUUCGGGAGAAGGCACGCUGAUGGUAGGUGAAGUGACUUGCUCAUGGAGCUGAAAUCAGUCGAAGAUACCAGCUGGCUGCAACUGUUUAAUAAAAACACAGCACUGUGCAAACACGAAAGUGGACGUAUACGGUGUGACGCCUGCCCGGUGCCGGAAGGUUAAUUGAUGGGGUCAGCCGCAAGGCGAAGCUCUUGAUCGAAGCCCCGGUAAACGGCGGCCGUAACUAUAACGGUCCUAAGGUAGCGAAAUUCCUUGUCGGGUAAGUUCCGACCUGCACGAAUGGCGUAAUGAUGGCCAGGCUGUCUCCACCCGAGACUCAGUGAAAUUGAACUCGCUGUGAAGAUGCAGUGUACCCGCGGCAAGACGGAAAGACCCCGUGAACCUUUACUAUAGCUUGACACUGAACCUUGAGCCUUGAUGUGUAGGAUAGGUGGGAGGCUUUGAAGCGUGGACGCCAGUCUGCGUGGAGCCAACCUUGAAAUACCACCCUUUAAUGUUUGAUGUUCUAACGUGGACCCGUAAUCCGGGUUGCGGACAGUGUCUGGUGGGUAGUUUGACUGGGGCGGUCUCCUCCCAAAGCGUAACGGAGGAGCACGAAGGUUAGCUAAUCCUGGUCGGACAUCAGGAGGUUAGUGCAAAGGCAUAAGCUAGCUUGACUGCGAGAGUGACAGCUCGAGCAGGUGCGAAAGCAGGUCUUAGUGAUCCGGUGGUUCUGAAUGGAAGGGCCAUCGCUCAACGGAUAAAAGGUACUCCGGGGAUAACAGGCUGAUACCGCCCAAGAGUUCAUAUCGACGGCGGUGUUUGGCACCUCGAUGUCGGCUCAUCACAUCCUGGGGCUGAAGUAGGUCCCAAGGGUAUGGCUGUUCGCCAUUUAAAGUGGUACGCGAGCUGGGUUUAGAACGUCGUGAGACAGUUCGGUCCCUAUCUGCCGUGGGCGUUGGAAGAUUGAGAGGGGUUGCUCCUAGUACGAGAGGACCGGAGUGAACGCACCACUGGUGUACGGGUUGUGAUGCCAAUUGCAUUGCCCGGUAGCUAAGUGCGGAAGAGAUAACCGCUGAAAGCAUCUAAGCGGGAAACUUGCCUCGAGAUGAGUCUUCCCUGGGCACUUGAUGCCCCUGAAGGGCCGUUGAAGACGACGACGUAGAUAGGCUGGGUGUGUAAGCGUAGCGAUACGUUGAGCUAACCAGUACUAAUGACCCGAGAGGCUUAACCUUACAACACCGAAGGUGUUU